AUGAAGAGGGCCGGUCCUGGUGCAUGCAGUGCGGGUCGCGUUGUGGCUGAACGGCGCUGUGUGUGUCUCUCUGUGUGUCUCUGUGUGUCUCUCUGUGUGUGUCUCGGAGUGUGUCUCUGAGUGUGUCUCUGAGUGUGUGUCUGUGUGUUGUUGUCUCCAGGAGGUGCUCAGUGUGUCUCUGAGUGUGUGUUGUUGUCUCCAGGAGGUGCUCAGUGUGUCUCUGAGUGUGUCUGUGUGUUGUUGUCUCCAGGAGGUGCUCAGUGUGUGUGUCUGUGUGUUGUUGUCUCCAGGAGGUGCUCAGUGUGUGUGUCUGUGUGUUUUUGUCUCCAGGAGGUGCUCAGUGUGGGCGUGGGGCCCAGGACGGAGGCGGAGCUGCCCACCGGCCCUGAGCUCAGGGCUCUGCUGGGCCGGGUGGGAGAGGCCCUGGCCUGUAGGAAGUUCCUGACCCCGGUCUCCGAGCAGAUGUUGCUGCGCUCCACGGUGCUGUUGGCGUGUCAGAUCGGUACGACUCCACCCCGGGACGUCCUGCAACUAGAACAUGAUUCACUGGUCCAUCUCGUAUGGACGCACCGCGGCCGGCUCCGGGCUGGACCACCGUUCUCAUCAAAUAACAACCAAAACAAAC
ensembl:lncRNA